GGUUCUCCAGUGCGGGGAAGGGUGAGAAGCUUCGACCAAGGUUCGAUUCGAGCGUAGCGAGAAAGCGUUGCCGCAGGCAACGACCCGAAGGGCGAAGCGCGAAGCGCUGAGUAAUCCUUCCCCCACCACCA
rnacentral:sRNA from 1 species